CGUGGGUAACCUGCCCAAGAGAUCGGGAUAACACCUGGAAACAGAUGCUAAUACCGGAUAACAACAGAUGAUGCCUAUCAACUGUUUAAAAGAUGGUUCUGCUAUCACUCUUGGAUGGACCUGCGGUGCAUUAGCUAGUUGGUGGGGUAACGGCCUACCAAGGCGAUGAUGCAUAGCCGAGUUGAGAGACUGAUCGGCCACAUUGGGACUGAGACACGGCCCAAACUCCUACGGGAGGCAGCAGCC
rnacentral:rRNA from 1 species